AAAUGGAAAUUUUAUCACCAAAUCUUUAGGAAAAUCUAUAUUUCAAAAAUUCAAACAAAGAUUACAAUUAUGCGACUAUCAUGACAUAGUUAAGUCAGCCACAACUCAUUUGACUAUUAAGAAACAAUCCAGCUCGAUGAUAGAAAUCAGUUAACAACACACAUCUUCAGUACAAAUGGCAGCCAACCGAUCAACGUAACUUCUUUGAUUAUAUAGCCACUGCUCUUGCUCUAAUAUAAAAUCCUUCCACAGCAAACAUACCUUUCUCAAGUUAUUCUGCAAUUUGUAAACAUCAUCUAAACAAUCCAGAUUUUUGAUCAAUCGAGGAAUGAUCACACUAUCCAACUGCUCCUUUAACACGGAACAUAAAACGAGAACCCCUUUCUCGAUUUCUUCCAAUGCACUUUGAAGGACUUCUUCUUCUGCAACGAAACUAUCCAAUUCUUUCUCAAUUUCCAUUGCUAAAUUUUAUUUUUGAAUUUUUCUAGCUAUAAUGUUCUUAACUUCAGCCGAAUCCUGAAUCUCGGAAUCAACGUCCCGAACAAGCAAACUAGAACUCACACGUACAUCCUAUGCAAAUUCAUUCUCAAACGGCGAAAACACUGUGCAGCUUAAAUUGCAGACACUAGAUGUCUCUUCAGUUUGUACCGCACGACAUUCAAGACAAGGAGACACACCUCCUCUUCCGCGAAACCAACACGACAAGGAAACCAACAA
rnacentral:lncRNA from 1 species